rnacentral:rRNA from 1 species
GUGAGGAAUAUUGGUCAAUGGGCGGGAGCCUGAACCAGCCAAGUCGCGUGAAGGAAGAAGGAUCUAUGGUUCGUAAACUUCUUUUGCAGGGGAAUAAAGUGCAGGACGUGUCCUGUUUUGUAUGUACCCUGAGAAUAAGGAUCAGCUAACUCCGUGCCAGCAGCCGCGGUAAUACGGAGGAUCCGAGCGUUAUCCGGAUUUAUUGGGUUUAAAGGGUGCGUAGGUGGUUUGAUAAGUCAGCGGUGAAAGUUUGCAGCUUAACUGUAAAAAUGCCGUUGAAACUGUCGGACUUGAGUGUAAAUGAGGUAGGCGGAAUGCGUGGUGUAGCGGUGAAAUGCAUAGAUAUCACGCAGAACUCCGAUUGCGAAGGCAGCUUACUAAGCUACAACUGACACUGAAGCACGAAAGCGUGGGGAUCAAACAGGAUUAGAAACCCUGGUAGUCC